rnacentral:rRNA from 1 species
GACGAACGCUGGCGGCGUGCCUAAUACAUGCAAGUCGAACGCAGUGGGGACGGGUGAGUAACACGUGGGUAACCUCCCAUCAGAGGGAUAAAACUUUGAAACAGGUGCUAAACCGCUACUGGUGGGUGGGCCCGCGGUGCAUUAGCUAGGUGGGGAGGUAACGGCUCACCAAGGCCACGAGGCAUAGCCGACCUGUGGGGGUGAUCGGCCACACUGGGACUGAGACACGGCCCAGACUCCUACGGGAGGCAGCAGUAGGGAAUUUUCGGCAAUGGACGAAAGUCUGACCGAGCAACGCCGCGUGAGUGAAGAAGGUUUUCGGAUCGUAAAACUCUGUUGUUAGAGAAGCGGUAUCUAACCAGAAAGCCACGGCUAACUACGUGCCAGCAGCCGCGGUAAUAC